rnacentral:rRNA from 1 species
GACGAACGCUGGCGGCGUGCUUAACACAUGCAAGUCGAACGGAAAGGCCCUGCUUUUGUGGGGUGCUCGAGUGGCGAACGGGUGAGUAACACGUGAGUAACCUGCCCUUGACUUUGGGAUAACUUCAGGAAACUGGGGCUAAUACCGGAUAGGAGCUCCUGCUGCAUGGUGGGGGUUGGAAAGUUUCGGCGGUUGGGGAUGGACUCGCGGCUUAUCAGCUUGUUGGUGGGGUAGUGGCUUACCAAGGCUUUGACGGGUAGCCGGCCUGAGAGGGUGACCGGCCACAUUGGGACAGAGAUACGGCCCAGACUCCUACGGGAGGCAGCAGUGGGGAAUAUUGCACAAUGGGCGGAAGCCUGAUGCAGCAACGCCGCGUGCGGGAUGACGGCCUUCGGGUUGUAACCCGCUUUCGCCUGUGACGAAGCGUGAGUGACGGUAAUGGGUAAAGAAGCACCGGCUAACUACGUG